GAUGAACGCUGGCGGCGUGCCUAACACAUGCAAGUCGAACGGAGACGAUAGCAAUAUUGUCUUAGUGGCGGACGGGUGAGUAACGCGUGAGCAAUCUGCCCUUCGGAGGGGGACAACAGCUGGAAACGGCUGCUAAUACCGCAUAACGUAUACUGGUGGCAUCAUUGGUAUACCAAAGAUUUAUCGCCGAAGGAUGAGCUCGCGUCUGAUUAGCUAGUUGGUAGGGUAAUGGCCUACCAAGGCUGCGAUCAGUAGCCGGACUGAGAGGUUGAACGGCCACAUUGGGACUGAGAUACGGCCCAGACUCCUACGGGAGGCUG
rnacentral:rRNA from 1 species